CCAGUCCACUGUAGAUGCGCUUCCGGCGGAGCCGAGGCCGGAAGCGGAAGAAGGGGACGCAGACCUGGAUCCAAGCUGUGCCACCUGAGACGUGGGCCGUCCCAGUGACCGGGAGCCAGAGCUCCAACGGGACGGGCGAGCAGGAGCGCGGAGGGCUUCGCAGCGUCGGCGUCUGUGCGUGGGCCAAACAUCAGGGCCUCGACCAGGGAUACAAGGACACCCCCUAACUAGAUUCCUGAUUCCUGAUGGCUGGCGGCGGCUGACACCGAAGAACUUACAAUUCUUACUGCCAUUUGGCCCUUUGUGAAGGCACAAGAGCUCUCAAAGCUCAUCUGUAAAUUGACUCGUUGCUACGUGGAUAGAACUGGGGCAGUGGGAAGCCAAGCAGAGUCCUGGUGAUAGCACGCUGGGUAGGGGCUUCUCCCUCCCAGCCUCUCUCUUCUAGGAGCAGCCGGUAAGAAUGCCAGCUGCAGAAGACUGGAAAUGACCCAACAUCCUCGGGGGAAAUACACACACAGUGCUCGGCCCAUAUAUGUUCCGCCAAAGACAGAGCCCAAAUAAGAACGAGCCAGCUUUUCAGGAAUCAACAGGGAACAACCUUCAAGAGACUGCCAAGCACAGAGAUGCACACGACAGCGCACUGUGCCGCCGCCUGGAAGAUCCUAGCUGAGGCUGGGCAGACAAGGACAUGAUGGUGGAGCCGUGCAUAGCUGUAGCAGGGGACUGCACCUGGCCUCCAGCGCUGACGCAAGCAAGACCUAUCACUGACUGGAGCCCAGUUCCUCCUCUGAGAGCAUGAGAAAACCACAAGAUGGUGUCUGUAGAGCAUGAAUGGUGUGCUGGAGACCACGCCCCCAGGGGCCAGGCCACGAGGACCCGCACACUGCAUUUUCUGCUGGGCUGCUCUCUGGUCUGUAAGAUCCAUUCAGGCAGGGCAGUGCCCAGCACGGCGCCUGGAGGCAGCCUCAGAGGCCCAUUGAGAGAGGAAGCCGAAGGAGAGCAGCCCCCCGCCUGCCUGUCCAAUUGGGCUGCUGUAAGAUCCUGAGAACUAGCGACCUUCUAGAAUUCCCCGAGACAAGUCAUCAAAUGCUCUCUGAGCACCGACUGCACACAGGUGCUCUACCAAACUCCGGGCCCGCUGGAUGUUGGGAGGGAGCGUUAGGAUCCCUGCGUACUGACCCGGAGAAGUAGACAGAGACAGCCAAGGUCAAGAACAGAAGCAACAGAUAAAAUGCCAGCACUGAGGCUCUCACCCAGGCUGCCAGGAAACCCCAGGGGAGGACUACACUUGGCUCAGGUCCAGGGCCACCCCUUCCCCCACAGCUCCUGGGCUCUGCGUGGAGCUGGAGGGACAGGAGUGGGCACAGGGGCCUUCUCAGUGGGCGUUCCUGCAACAAGGGCCACCAUGGAGAGAACCGAGGACACUGUCACCCAAGGAAGAGGCUGGUGACUCUGUGGAUCCCAUGGUAACCACCAUUUAAGGAUGGGCACUCACGCUAUAAUCCAGCAAUUCCACUCCAGGCAGCACCAACAGAAAUGCACUCAGAGCAGCUGUAUUCAGAACAGCCCCAACUGAAAACAGCCCACGCGGCCACCAACAGAACACCGAAUAAAUAAAUCACCGUCUGUCCAUUCAAUGUCCGAUGAACAAACUGCUGCUACACAUAACCUCAAAGACAAAUCUCAAAACAAUGUCGAGUCAAAGAGCCAAACACAAAAAAACACAUUUUUUUUUUUUUGUCCUGGAUUAAAAGGUCAAAAGCAGGCAAGACUUCUAGAUGGUGAGAGCAGUCAGGGUAGUGGCAGGCAGAGAGUGACUAGGAGAGGACGUUGCAGAUGGCUUCAGGGGAAAGGCUCUGUUCCUUGACCUCAGUGGACUGGGGUUCUCAGGUGUGUUCAUAAAUGUUCAUUCAGCUGUAAAACUUGGGACUUGUACACUUUUCUAGAUGUACAUUUUCUAGACUAUAUUUAUAAAGGUUAAAAAUAACCUACUGUGUGUGAAUUCCAUGAUCUUAGAGGCCACCUCAUCCUACAGAAACAGAUGGUGAAGCUGUCAGGGUUGUGGAGGAGGGGGAGGUGUUGGCAAAGCAGCCCCUCGUUCCCCACGGCCCAGACCCUCUGAGAGCCCCACAGAACAAGGUCUGAAAACAGCUUCAACACAAGCCCUGGCCACCUCUACAACACACAGUGAUGCAUGUGCACUGCACUUCACUGCUCACUGAGAAAUGUGUCUGCACUCUCCUGCCCUGGAUGGGGCUGGGGAGGACAAGGGCACUCUGAAGCUUCCCCAGCAGGAGUACUCAACAGAUGAGUGUCCCCAGGAAGAAGCGAGCACUAACGCUACUGGAAAGAGGCAGGCAGGCAGCACCCACUGGGCAUGGUUCCAGCACCCUGCAGGGCACUGGGGUCUUGCCACACCAUGGUCUCCCCUGAGACCACAGAUACGCGCCCCCCCCCCACCCCCAACAGGUAUUAAGCCACUUUCCCAUCCAAGAAGCCAGGGUGCCAGCUGGCCACAGAUUCAUUACUAACCUAACCUGCUACCCCAUGCAGCCAGCACACACCUGCCUCCCUGCUCCACUGUGACACAGGACACUUUAGGAUGAGGCAAAUCUGCACAUCUAUACAGCGGAAAAGGACAGUGAAGAAAUUCCUCUUCUACUCCUAGUUUGCUGAGAGGUUUUAUCAGGAAUAGACAUCCGAUUUUGUCACAUGCUUUUCCUGCAUGUACUGGGAUGAUUAUAAGGCUUUUCAUUUCUGGCCUUGUAAUAUGGUCAAUUACACACAUUUUCAAACGU